rnacentral:misc_RNA from 1 species
AAACCUCUCACCUACUAUUGUGUUUUAUGCCAAUAGCUUGGUGGAUUUUGAAUGCUUUCGGAUUUAUUCGAAUCAUUUAAAUUUUAUUGUGUGCAGCCAUUAUUUCACUCAUUUUCAAAAUGUUUGGUGAAUGGUUCCCAAGUGCAAUAAAGAUUAACAAUCUCUUAUACUCUUGAGUACCGCAAAAUUCCCGAACACUUAAUUUUGGAUUGAGAUUAAUGAAUUGAUGUUUGUGUCCCAAAUUAUUAUACGAUUUGUUUAUUCUGCGCGAGCAAAAUAAAUAAUUCGAAA